CCACACCAACCAAAAAGGUGUAAAAGGUCAGUCUACAUCUCCCUUUCACACCAAACUAUAGCUGAAAAUGAUUACCACUUCCACAUAUUUGCAACGAAUUCAAAAAUUCCUCAUAAAAUCCUCUACUUUCACCUGUAGUUUACUUGGUUUUAUAGACAUAUCCAUGUAGUUCCUAUAAAACAUUAUAAGUGUCAUACUUAUGGUAUACCACUGCUUUCACACUUGCUCUUAUCUCCUUUGAAAUUUCACAAUUUUCUUAUGCUUAUGUCUGACAUAACAUUGCAAAGCCUCACAGUAAUUCAGGGCUAAAAAUGCUCUAUCCAUGUUCAUAUCCAUGCUCAAAUCAAUUGGUUAACUUUUUCUUUUUAAUUCCUUAUCUCAUGUUGACUCUUCACUUAGGUUUUCUCUUAUAACAACAAUUCAGACACUGUUUUUUUGUGAUAGCAUAAAACUAUAGCCUCCUUUUGCUCUUUCGUUACUGUUAAGCAAUUGACACUCCAAUAUAAGCCAAUUUACGUGUUUUGGUCGAUAACUUCCACUGCAUACAUUCUUCUACAUUUUUCCUAUUCUACUUUGUUAUGAUGGCCUACACAUUAAUACAAACUUAUCAGUAGCAACAAUAGGAACAACGUUUCUGUCUACCAGCAAAUCUAUCAGUCCAUAUUUGCAGUUUCUAACAUACUUUAAACUGUGUAAUUGCAGGAACUACCUCGCACCAUUUUGUGACUUUUGCUUAUGAUAGGGACAAUAUAAUGAACAACUCUCCCUAUGCUGUGCUUUAUUUCAUGAGGAAGAUUAACUAUGCACAAGCAAACUGCAGUCUCUUCUAAAUAUGAUACUGCAACAUGUAUAUUGUUUUUAUUAUGUUCCAUUAGUUAGUAUGUGCCAAUAGUUCAACUCGACAUCAUACUGAUGUGUAUUGUACAUAUUCUGAAUAUUUCUAAUAGUACAUAUUAUAAUAUAUGCUAUUAUCUAUCUUCUAUAAACACCCUAACCCUUAAUUCAUUAACAUAACAACACUUUUACAAGCAUAAUACUUUGACUAUUGGGCCCGUGCUUGCCACGGGCCUCCCUACCCUAGUA
rnacentral:lncRNA from 1 species